rnacentral:misc_RNA from 1 species
GAAUGGAGUUGUGGGGCUCAAAAACAGAACAAUUCUUGACAUGGUUCGAAGUAUGUUAAAGAGUAAACAUAUGCCUAAAGAAUUCUGGGCUGAAGCUGUUGCUUGUGCUGUGUAUCUGUCUAAUCGUAGCCCUUCAAAAAGUCCGCAGAAUGCUACUCCACAAGAAGCAUGGAGUGGAUGGAAGCCAACUAUUUCUCACCUAAAAGUGUUUGGCAGUAUAACUUAUUCUCAUGUUGCAGAUGAGAUGAGAACUAAAUUGGAUGAUAAGAGUGAGAAGCUUGUGUUUAUCGGGUAUGACUCAAAGUCCAAAGGCUACAAGCUUUACAAUCCAAGGAGCAAGAAGACAAUUAUUAGCAAGGAUGUCAAGUUUGAUGAAGAGGAUUUUUGGAGAUGGGAGAAUAAAACUAAUGAUUAUAGUUUUCUUCCUUUGUUUGAUAAUCAUUCAGAUCAAAGCAGAGUUGAUGCGCAGAUUUUCACACCUCCAGGCACUCUAUUUUAAGUUCGUAAUGAUUUAACUCCUCAAAGCUCCUCCGAAAGGCCUCAAAAGAUGAAGAGUCUGCAAGAUAUUUAUGCAGAAACUAAAGAAAUUCAUAAUUCAGCUCUUUAUUGUCUUUUUGCAGAUGCAGAGCCCAUAGAUUUUGAGGAAGCAAUGCAAGAAGAAAAAUGGAGAAUUGUAAUGGAUGAAGAAAUGAAUGCAAUUAAGAAAAAUGGCACAUGGGAGUUGACAAAUCUUCAAGAAGGAAAGCAGCCUGUUGGAGUAAAAUGGAUUUACAAAGUAAAGCAGAAUGAGAAAGGUGAGGUGAAGAAGUUCAAAGCUCGUCUUGUGGCAAGAGGAUUCGGUCAAAAGCCUGGCAUUGAUUAUGAUGAAGUGUUCGCACCUGUUGCUAGGUUGGAAACUAUUCGAUUGAUCAUGGCAUUAGUAGCUCAAAAGAAGUGGAGAAUUUUUCAGAUGGAUGUAAAAUCAGCAUUUCUGAAUGGGCACUUGGAAGAAGAAGUGUAUGUAGAGCAACCAUUUGGCUAUGUUGUGAAGGGGCAAGAGAAUAAAGUUUUGAAGUUGAAGAAGGCAUUGUAUGGGUUAAAAUAGGCACCCAUAGCUUGGUAUAGCCGCAUAGAUGAUUAUUUUCAGAAAAAGGGUUCACAAAGUGUCCUCGUGAAUAUGGCCUUUAUGUUAAGGUAAAGGAAAAUGGUAAUUUGCUGAUUGUUUACUUGUAUGUUGAUGAUUUGAUCUUUACUGGAAAUAGUCCAUUGAUGUUUGAAGAAUUCAAGAAGGAGAUGGCUGAAGAAUUUGAUAUGACUGAUAUUGGGCUCAUGUCAUAUUAUCUUGGAAUUGAAGUACAACAAUCUAAUAAUGGCAUUUUUAUUUCUCAAAAGGCUUAUGCAGAAAAGAUUCUGAAGGAGUUCAACAUGGAGAAUUGCCAAUCAGUUUCUACUCCUGUUGAAUGCGGAACAAAGCUGUCUCGAUAUGAUGAUGGUGAAAAGGUGAAUCCAACCUUGUAUAGGAAGGAAGCUUGUUGGAAAUCUAAGGUAUUUGACAUGUACCAGGCCAGAUAUUCUUUAUGGAGUUGGUCUCAUCAGUCGAUAUAUGGGGGCACCAACUACCAUGCACAUGAAAGCUGCUAAAAGAAUCUUGCGCUAUGUGAAAGGUAUAAAUGGAGUAUGGUUUGUUUUAUUCUGCUUCUAACAAUUUCGGAUUGAUUGGAUAUAGUGACAGUGAUUGGGAAGGAGAUAUUGAUGAUCGAAAGAGCACUACAGGUUUUCUAUUUUUCAUUGGUCAAGCUGCAUUCACUUGGAGUUCGAAGAAGCAACCAACUGUGACUCUCUCAACCUGUGAAGCUGAAUAUGUAGUUGCAGCUUCAUGUGUUUGUCAUGCUAUAUGGCUUCGGAAGUUGUUACAGAUGUUGUAAGUUACACAAGAAGAAGCUACUAAAAUUUUUAUUGAUAACAAGUCAGCCAUAGCAUUUGGAAAAAAUCCCAUUUUUCAUGACAGAAGCAAACACAUAGAUACCAGGUUUCAUUUCAUUAGAGAGAGCAUUAGCAAGAAAGAGGUGCAACUAAAGUAUGUGAAGUCUUAUAAUCAAGUUACUGAUAUUUUGACCAAGGCACUAAAGUUUGCAGAUUUUUCCAGACUAAGAACUCAGCUUGGGAUAAUUAAAAUUCAAGUUUAAGGAGUGUUGGAAGAUAAACUUGAAUUAAUUGCUAUUAUAUGUUGAGUUUAUCUAGAUGUUCAAGUUCAACGUAUCUAGAUUAGGAUAAGUCACAUUUCUGUUUUAAAUAGCCUUGUAUGUUUUGAUUUUUGAAUAUAGAGAAAUUUCCAGUUUACGAUAUUUUUCUUUUCCCAACACU